rnacentral:misc_RNA from 1 species
GUGGACAUCACCGCCAAUCGCAACUGCGCUAUUUGCUGCUGCGUGCGUGUCGUAUAUAGAGAGAAAGGGGAUUCGACUUUGGCACCACCGCCGCCGCACUCAGACUUAAACGCAAGCAUGCGGUUCAGCUGCAGAGAAAGCAAAGGCGUUCACAAGUACAUGCCGCCCACGACCUCGUCCUGCUCUGACUCGGCGAAGGUGCCGCACCGUAUCGUGUUCGAGUCGGAAGACUCGUCCUCGAGUGAUGGCGAAAGGCACAAAUGUGGCGGCGACUCGCUCGCGCGAGAGAUGAAAGCCGCGGCAGAACGGGAGCGUCGCAAGAACCUGCACGCGGAGAGCGGUCGCGCCAGGCCGCCUCGUGCACACCCGCUCGCUCCAUCGGGCGCGUCCACUGUCAAGGCGUCGUCGACCGCGGUGCCGCACACGGCAGAAAAGACAGACCUGUUCGGCAGUGACUCCUCCUCGUCCGACGCGGAGACAGAGGACGAAGCGAAAGAUGCGAUCAAGCCAGCAACGGGGGAGUCGAGUCGGCAAACGUCCACGGCCGCGUCCCUCACGCCAGCAUACGCGCGUGGCAAGGCAGACGGCGCCGCCAGCAAAACGGCACACGUGCAGGGCCUCUCCUUUCGGCGGGUCCAGGACGGCGAAGCAAACGGCAAGAAGCAUCUGCUGACAGGGGGCACUGAGGGUGGUGACGACGAGGAAAGCAGCAGCAGCGAGGACGUCGGGCUGCACAUUAACAAAGCGUACGCGGCGCGUUACGAAGAGCAGAAGCGUAAGCAGGAGCUCCACACGCUGACGGAGAAGUACAAGGGGAAGCUUGGCAAGGCCGCCGCUCUCGGCUUCGACUGUGACGACGACGAAAAGGGUGAGAAGGACAGUUCUGAUGACGAGGAGUUUGAGGAAGACGACGAUGCGCUGCUCCUCACUCAUGAGAACAACCUCAGCUUUGCCAAGGCUCUGUUGGCCGUGCGCAAAGCCACGGUGCCGCUCCGCGUCAGCAAUAGCGCCAAGAAGGGCAAAACGGCCGCAGUGGCUUCUGCUGCCCACGAUGAGGACUCCCCUUCAUCACCCGCCGACUCCGAGCCCACUGCGGAAACCCUACUGCCAAAGGAGGAGCUCCUCAAGCAGCGCUUCUUUCCUCCUGCGGAGGAGCAGAUUCGUGUGAACACUGACGUCUUCGAGCGACGCAUGGCGCAGAAGCGGCGCAAAGCCGCUGGCAAGAGCAAGUUCACACUCGCCGACGAGUACAAGCGCGCCCUCGAGGCCACCGCUGGGUCGGAGGAUGCCGUGGUGGACGACUCCAACGAGGCAGGCGAGCGCGACGGGCUGCGAAAGCUGCGACCGCAGAACGCAGAGGAAGCAAAGCUCCGCGCUGCUUUCUUGCGCAAUGUGGAGGACAGCACCAACACCUUUGAAGUGGUCCGCGGCGCCACCUCAGCAUACGCGUCAGCACCAGCGGCGUCCGAUAACGGCGAGGACAGCGCAGACGAAGACGAGCAGCAGCGCGGAGCCAGUGAGGAAGAGAAGCGCUUGCUGGAGGAGGCGUUCGCGCUGAGCAUAUCCGCUGCGGCUGCCAAGAAGAGUGGGAAGAAGCAGCAGGGCGCCAGCGGCGAUGGCAACGAAACUGAUAGUGAAGCGUUCCUGCGCGACUUCUUCAUCCAGGAACUCUGGCGCCCUGGCGCGACUCGGAAGAAGAGCAGGGCGCACAAAGCCAGCACCGACAGUGGCGAGGAGGCAGAGGGCAGCGACGGAGAUGCCGAAGGAGACGAUUCGGCCGGCUCAUACUACAACCGCCUCGCCCAACUCGCCCGCGAGGAGGAGGACGAGGCCUUCUUCAACAAUGCGGAGGUGUGGGAGCGGGAGUACCAAGAGAAGAAGUACCGCCACCAAGAAGCGGAAGAGGAAGCGGCCAACGGCGGUGCGUCGGCAGCGCACGUGCAGACAUUUCCUCGCCCCAUUGGCGAGGCAGCGACGGGGCUCCUCCGCAAGCCGGAUACCACACGCAAGGACGCGCGGCAGCGGCGCCGCGAGCGCGCAGAGGCGGCUCGUGCACAGCAGGUCGAGGAGCUGAAGCGACUGAAGCACCUGAAGCGGAAGGAGAUCGAAGACCAGCGCGCCCUCAUCGCGUCCGUCGCCGGCUUGAAAGCGGCGACCACCGCGAGGUUUGGCGGGGAUGAGAAAGAGGAGGCUCAGCUGGCCAAGCUGAAGGCGGUGUGGUCGGACAAAGACCUCGACGCCCCAUUCGACCCGGCGGAGUUCGACCGCAAGAUGGCGCAGCUCUUCGACAGCGAUUACUACGACGAGAGGAACGUCGACGAGGAUGAGAUUGCGUACUUUGACGAAGAGCUCGACAAGGAGUCUGGCGAGGACGACGAUGGCACGGCAGAGGCCAUCCGGUCGGGCGAGGCUCCCGCGCUGUUUGCGGCGAACUCACUGGAGGAGGCACAGUCGAUGAUGCCGGCCGUCUUGGCGGCGAAGGCGAAGAAGAAAGGGAAGAGCACCGAGGUCUUCUUCCACGAUGACUUCGGACCCUCAUCGGAAGCCGGUGCCACGGACGCGCUCUCUCUCCUCUACCCUUCAGAGGCACUGCAGCAGCUGGAGAAGGAGCAGCAGCAGCUAAAUGACCUGAUCGCCUCCACUACCGGGAAGAGCGAGACCGACGCUGAGCUGAUGGAGCGCCUGCAAGCGUCCCUGAAGCAGAAGGAAGAAGAAUACUAUCAGCUGCACCGCGAUGUCGGCGCAACAUCGUCAGGCGGCGCAGGCGCGGGCGUCAGCGGCGGCUUCCGGUACCGUGAGGUGCCUGCAGAGGACUUUACACUGUCUGUCGAGGAAAUCUUGGCUCUCGAUGAUCGGCAGUUAAACAUGAUUGCUCCCAUGAACUGCUAUGCGGCGUACCUCGACAAGGACAGCAACGAGCGGGACCGUCGUCGUAUUGAGCGCCGCCGGCAGAAGGGCUUCCGCCAGGUGGACUCCGACCGCACCUCGCGACGCUAUGGAAACGUGAAGAGCACUUCUCUGUUGAACCCGGAGCAAAUAAACGAUGAGGAGGGCAAGGCGAUUGCGGCGAACCUCUCUAAGCGCCUACGCGAGGAAGGCGAAGACCCCGAUGCGCCGCUGGAGAUGCCAAACUACAAGCGAAGCCGAGGCCGCGGCAGACGUGGCGCACCGGUCGACUUGUCGCGUGGUGCGUCGUCCUCUCGAGGCAAGUGGCCACGCACGGAAGGUCGUGGCCGUGGCCGUGGCAGCGGUCGAGGGGGCUUUUUUCCGUCCGUUCGCGGCGGCAAAGGAGGGCGAGGCCGUGGUAGGCACUAAUCGAGUGCGUUCUUCGGGCCCGGCAUCCUUCGCUCUCCUCACUGCACGCUGCCUUUUAUGCACACGCGCACGGUGAGAGAGACAACUUAACGGCCAUGCCCCUCUGUGAGUGUUGGAAGGGUGAUGCCUUUUGUGGAACGUUGGCGCUGAGCUUCUUUUUGUCGGUGCUUUCCUUCGUUUGCUUCGUCUUGGACCUAACGAGUAACGCCACGCAGCCCGUUGCUCGGGACUCUUUCGCCGUGGUGCACUGACACGCAUGCACACACAGAUGCGCAGUGGUAAACUAACUUGAAGAAUGCAACCCACUGAUCAACAGCAAACCGGGUUACCCCCGCGCCCGUUUCUCGACUGCUGCAGCGGUGUUGCAAGGACGUCCCUCUCCCCCUCCCCGUGUCGACAACGCGAAUGUCGUGCGCGGCAAGCCGCACUCAUGGGUGUCCAAUGAAGCGGAAGAAAACACGGCGGUGCUGCUGUGCGUGUGUACACACAUCGGUCGUCUCUGCUGCGUUGCUCCCCACCGCUGGCCAACCCUCGACAAGUGGAAGGCGGGUCUCAUGGAGUUUUGCGCUGGAUCGCACUGCCAAAGCCGCUUGUGCCUGGUGUUUCUUUUUUGCUUAUCAGCGUGGAAUGUCGUCUUCUACCAUAUUCUUUGUAAUUCCUUCUUCUUUCGCACCCGCUGCGCAUGCCCGCUCAAACACCCUCUCACACACGCACACGGGGGGAG